rnacentral:lncRNA from 1 species
CCGGUACCGGAAAAAAAAAAAAAAAAUACGUUAAGAAGACUUCGUUCUGGACUGGAAAUGAAUGUAAUAUAUAUUAAGCUUCAGCUGGGAGCAAUUUUUCCCUCACAGACAGUUAUAAUAAGUCUGUUUUGAAGGCUUAUGGAUUUCAUAAUGGAAAUGGUGAACCAACUUCAGAAGGGCAUCAUGUGAAACCACGGAUUUAAUAACAGCUCCACGGCCUCCAGAAGACGAGGAUGAGACCCCAUGCGAAUAUCAGGGAAUGACUGUGAUGCACGUAAAAGACUCUGACUUCAAUCUCUGCAGUUCAAGAUACAUCCGGAAGUCUUAGCCUAAGUGAAAAGCACCUGAGCAGGUUCUGUGCCUGAGGAACAAAGGUUGCACUUUAGCAUGGUGGAGAUGAAGAGAAACAGCCUGUGAAAGAUCAGAAAAACCAAGGAAGGAAGUAAUUUCAAGACAUAAAAUAAAGUCACCAGAAUCAGAGAUGCCGAAGACACCAAAGAAACAGAGGAAAAUUUCCAUCAGACUUGGUGAAAAAGGUCUUUAGAGGCAGUUUGAGCAGAACUUUGAGGAUAACCUAUUCCCAUUAUUAAAAAGGAAGUAUGAAAUGA